rnacentral:rRNA from 1 species
GGGGAAUCUUGCACAAUGGGCGAAAGCCUGAUGCAGCAACGCCGCGUGAGUGAAGAAGGUCUUUGGAUUGUAAAGCUCUUUCGGCCGGGAAGAAGGGUGGUUGUACGAAUAAUGCGAUCAUUUGACGGUACCGGAAGAAGAAGCACCUGCUAACUACGUGCCAGCAGCAGCGGUAAUACGUAGGGUGCAAGCGUUGUUCGGAAUGACUGGGCGUAAAGGGCGCGUAGGCGGGCUUGUAAGUUGGUUGUGAAAUCCCCGGGCUUAACCUGGGAACGGCAGCCAAAACUGCGAGUCUUGAAUGCCCGAGAGGUUAGUGGAAUUUCUGGUGUAGGAGUGAAAUCCGUAGAUAUCAGGAGGAACACCGGAGGCGAAGGCGGCUAACUGGUGGAGCAUUGACGCUGAGGCGCGAAAGCGUGGGUAGCAAAC